AAUUGGAUAUAUUUGAGUCCCCUCGGCGUUGUUCGUCCGGCAAUCACAUCUAUACGAUAUUAGGCUAACACGGCUAACGAUAAUGGAUAUCGGGAUUGUCGGGAAUCUGAUUUAUGGAACGGAAAACAAAUCUUGGGGCUAGCGAGCAAAUUGAAUCAGGUCAGAACGUCAUGUCAAGUUUGUGCUCGACGCCGUUUUAUGACAGCUUCAUUGGAUAUCGCCGAAAUUAUUCACGCACCAGCCGAAAAAAUAACUAGUCUGGCGCAUCCGCCAUAAUUCUCAGCGAACGCCUCAUCUGAUCGGAAAAGGCGAAACGCGUAACGAAGGCGAGACAAAUGUAGCUCCUCGCGCGAUAGGAGAAGCCGAAAAGGGCUGAAGAAUGGGGUGCCGGCUACGUUGAAUAGGGUAAGCGGAUAGAGGGCGCAGAGCGUGAUAAAUAUUGGGCAAUAAGUGGCGGAGCAACGUGGCUGGCAGUGAGAAGCUGUCGCGACCUCAUGCAGCCGACCGUGUAAUUGGAUGGAGUGCAGCGAUAUUGACAUCCGGAGGACCGGAAUCGGGAGCAGCGCCGCCACCGCAAAACGCCAUCCCCACUCGAACUUCUUCCAGAUCCAGAACCAAUAAUGCGAGAUCCUAUCGGACCGCUACAUUAGUUUCGGAUAUGACGAAGUCCGGCCUUCCAUUAUAAUGUAAAGCAUAACUAUGAGUGGCUAUUUCCAUAUACGAUCCGAGAAUGAUAGCAUCUAGAUCUCCGGGGUGGCUGCAAUAACAAUCUCCUUGUAUGAAUUGUUAUAGCUCUCGCUAUCAUUCAGUGGACAUCUCAUUCCGGCUUCUCGAUGACCGCGCUAUACGCGCUACUGGUUUGCUGUUUACGACCAACCAACCAAACCUACGUAGGGGUCUCCGAUUUAUUCCGCAGACUGGUGGAGGUGUUGCUUAUGAAUUAUUUCCUACGACGGAAAACUUGACCUCAACAACUUCACUUUUACCACUCGAUUUACUAAAAAUAAACACAUAUUUCACUACACCAUUGCCAUCUAUGUCUGCUCAACUAUUCAUAAUGCCACUCCAACGACACGGACGCGGAGAAUGCCUUAAACAUUUAUCACGAAUAAAACGUACGAGCGACACAAUAUUCGAGGGUGGCGGAAAUGUUUCACUAGCGCUGGGAC